GGGGCUAUAGCUCAGCUGGGAGAGCGCUUGCAUGGCAUGCAAGAGGUCGACGGUUCGAUCCCGUCUAGCCCGCA
rnacentral:tRNA from 1 species